UUUUUUUUUGUUUUUGUUUUUGUUUUCUUCUCCACUGACAGUCAAAUUUAAUGGUACGAUGAUUGCUGAGAGCGGUUAAUACAACGGAGAAAAUAAAAGAAAUUUUGUCAGCUGUUCGUAAUGGCUCAUGCGCUCUCUGCACAAAGAAUACAACAUGAAAAUCGGCUGAUUUUAGGGUGGCCAAUGUGUUGCAAGGGGCAGGGAUUAAAGAGCACAUACCAGAAAACGUCCGAUGUAGUAUGUACAGCACAGUCCAACACACCGCAUAUUUCUUUUCUUUUUUACGUUUUUUGUUUAACAAACACAGCGAGGGGAUAGGAGGGUGGCAAUGGUGGUGGUUGACCUGAUUUUAUUUUUACCUUAUGCCCACACGAGAGACAGGCUGAGCUUGGUGGCACUGCCUCUGUUAGCGUUGGUCUCUGGCAUCGGCGACUGGCACAGUGGUAUUUCGGUGCUUACCACAAACAAGUAAGUCUUCAUCCAUAACAUUUAUCGUAUGAUGCUGUUGCUUGCAGCUUGCUUGCUUGCCACAAUGGGCCUCCAGGAAUUGUGAAACAUUUAUGGUAAAUGCAAAAACAGGCACAGUAUCAGUACCCAGCGCCACAAUAGAUAAUAACAUUUGAUAAUGGUCAUCAGCAAUAGCCUUACUGAUGGGGAAAUGUAACAAUGAAUGGUGUUGUUUACAGCAGCGAAACAAAAACACAACCUGUUUCCAAUGCUGUUGCAAUUUUCAAUAAAAACCAAUAUUUCAAAA